rnacentral:rRNA from 1 species
AGUGAACGCUGGCGGUAGGCCUAACACAUGCAAGUCCAACGGCAGCACAGUAAGAGCUUGCUCUUACGGGUGGCGAGUGGCGGACGGGUGAGGAAUACAUCGGAAUCUACUUUUUCGUGGGGGAUAACGUAGGGAAACUUACGCUAAUACCGCAUACGACCUACGGGUGAAAGCAGGGGAUCUUCGGACCUUGCGCGAUUGAAUGAGCCGAUGUCGGAUUAGCUAGUUGGCGGGGUAAAGGCCCACCAAGGCGACGAUCCGUAGCUGGUCUGAGAGGAUGAUCAGCCACACUGGAACUGAGACACGGUCCAGACUCCUACGGGAGGCAGCAGUGGGGAAUAUUGGACAAUGGGCGCAAGCCUGAUCCGGCCAUACCGCGUGGGUGAAGAAGGCCUUCGGGUUGUAAAGCCCUUUUGUUGGGAAAGAAAAGCAGCAGGUUAAUACCCCGCUGUUCUGACGGUACCCAAAGAAUAAGCACCGGCUAACUUCGUG